CUAAAUGCCGUGAAGGGGAAGAGUAUGAGAACAAUCCUUAAAGAGAGGGAGCCAUUUGGUGAGAGGUUCCUAGGCACUUGAACUCAGAAUGUCGCCCCAGAUGCAGUUUCUUUGAACAAUAGUAGAAGAAACCGGAGUCCAUCCGUUAAUGUAUGAAGUGUACAGACAGACGUAUGUCGUUUGUAAAUAAAGGUGGUACCGCGAAUCCUUUUCGUCCUUUUU
rnacentral:ncRNA from 1 species